rnacentral:rRNA from 1 species
GAUGAACGCUGGCGGCGUGCCAAAUACAUGCAAGUCGAGCGAACAGACGAGAAGCUUGCUUCUCUGAUGUUAGCGGCGGACGGGUGAGUAACACGUGGGUAACCUACCUAUAAGACUGGGAUAACUCCGGGAAACCGGGGCUAAUACCGGAUAAUAUUUUGAACCGCAUGGUUCGAUAGUGAAAGACGGUUUCGGCUGUCACUUAUAGAUGGACCCGCGCCGUAUUAGCUAGUUGGUAAGGUAACGGCUUACCAAGGCGACGAUACGUAGCCGGCCUGAGAGGGUGAUCGGCCACACUGGAACUGAGACACGGUCCAGACUCCUACGGGAGGCAGCAGUAGGGAAUCUUCCGCAAUGGGCGAAAGCCUGACGGAGCAACGCCGCGUGAGUGAUGAAGGUCUUCGGAUCGUAAAACUCUGUUGUUAGGGAAGAACAAAUUUGUUAGUAACUGAACAAGUCUUGACGGUACCUAACCAGAAAGCCACGGCUAACUACGUGCCAGCCGCCGCAGUAA